GACGAACGCUGGCGGCGUGCUUAACACAUGCAAGUCGAACGGAAAGGCCCUGCUUGCAGGGUACUCGAGUGGCGAACGGGUGAGUAACACGUGGGUGAUCUGCCCUGCACUUCGGGAUAAGCCUGGGAAACUGGGUCUAAUACCGGAUAGGAGCCAUUUUUAGUGUGAUGGUUGGAAAGUUUUUUCGGUGUAGGAUGAGCUCGCGGCCUAUCAGCUUGUUGGUGGGGUAAUGGCCUACCAAGGCGGCGACGGGUAGCCGGCCUGAGAGGGUGGACGGCCACAUUGGGACUGAGAUACGGCCCAGACUCCUACGGGAGGCAGCAGUGGGGUAUAUUGCACAAUGGGCGCAAGCCUGAUGCAGCGACGCCGCGUGGGGGAUGACGGCCUUCGGGUUGUAAACUCCUUUCGCUAGGGACGAAGCUUUUGUGACGGUACCUAGAGAAGAAGCACCGGCUAACUACGUG
rnacentral:rRNA from 1 species